rnacentral:rRNA from 1 species
UUCUGGCUCAGGAUGAACGCUGGCGGCGUGCCUAAUACAUGCAAGUCGAACGAGGUGCUUGUAGCAAUACGAAGUAUCCUAGUGGCGAACGGGUGAGUAACGCGUUGGUGACCUACCCCAAAGUGUGGGAUAACAGUCCGAAAGGAUUGCUAAUACCGCAUGUGGUCUCUGGAUUUAGAAACCGGUGACUAAAGGAGCAAUUCGCUUUGGGAGGGACCUGCGUCCCAUCAGCUAGUUGGUGAGGUAACGGCUCACCAAGGCGACGACGGGUAGGGGACCUGAGAGGGUGGCCCCCCACAAUGGAACUGAAACACGGUCCAUACACCUACGGGUGGCAGCAGUAGGGAAUAUUGGUCAAUGGGCGAAAGCCUGAACCAAGCAACGCCGCGUGUGCGAUGAAGGCCUUCGGGUCGUAAAGCACUUUUCUGGGAGAUGAGAAAGGACAGUAUCCCAGGAAUAAGUCUCGGCUAACUACGUGCCAGCCGCUGC